UGAGAGGGUGAACGGCCACAUUGGGACUGAAACACGGCCCAAACUCCUACGGGAGGCAGCAGUGGGGAAUAUUGCACAAUGGGGGAAACCCUGAUGCAGCGACGCCGCGUGAGUGAAGAAGUAUUUCGGUAUGUAAAGCUCUAUCAGCAGGGAAGAAGUGACGGUACCUGAAUAAGAAGCCCCGGCUAACUACGUGCCAGCAGCCGCGGUAAUACGUAGGGGGCAAGCGUUAUCCGGAUUUACUGGGUGUAAAGGGAGCAUAGACGGCAUGGCAAGUCUGAAGUGAAAGCCCGGUGCUUAACCCCGGGACUGCUUUGGAAACUGU
rnacentral:rRNA from 1 species